GAUUGUAUUAGAGAAAAGACGAGGACUGUUGGCCAGUCUCCCAAAAUACUAGCUUAGGUUUUUUUUUCUUUUGCGAUUGAAACCUCCAUCUGGAAUUAAAAGGGAUGUUCAACUCGUUCCACGAUAGUAAUAUUAGAAAAGUAAUUGCAUGUUAUUUUUUCUGGUGGACAAAUUAAGAUAACAUUUUAAAGCCUUUCUUUAAAAAAAAAAAUCCAAAUCCUUAAGAUAAUGAACGAGUC
rnacentral:lncRNA from 1 species